AGGGCCGCAAUAUUUUAAUUGUGCAAAGGUAGCGUAAUAAUUAGUCUUUUGAAAGGGGAUUGGUAUGAAAGAUUGAACAUAAUAAGUAUUGUCUUCUAAAUCUAGUAUGAAUUUUUAAUUAAAGUAAAUAUACUUUAAUAAUAUAAAGGGACGAUAAGACCCUAUAAACUUUUUAACUAUUUAAAUAAAAAGAAAUAUUAAAAAAUAAGUGUUUAUUGGGGCAAUAUAAAUAUUAAUCUGUUUAUUUAAAAAUAAUCUAGAAUAAAGAGCCAGUUUAUGAAUAAGAAAAAAGUACUUUAGGGAUAACAGCGUGAUUACUUUGGAGAGUACUUAUCUAUAAAGUAGAUUGCGACCUCGAUGUUGAAUUAAGAAGUUAUUUGGUGUAGAAGUUAAAAUAAAUAGUCUGUUCGACUAAUAAAUUCUUACAUGAU
rnacentral:rRNA from 1 species